rnacentral:rRNA from 1 species
UACGGAGGGAGCUAGCGUUGUUCGGAAUUACUGGGCGUAAAGCGCACGUAGGCGGCUUUUUAAGUCAGGGGUGAAAUCCCGGGGCUCAACCCCGGAACUGCCCUUGAAACUGGAGAGCUAGAAUCUUGGAGAGGCGAGUGGAAUUCCGAGUGUAGAGGUGAAAUUCGUAGAUAUUCGGAAGAACACCAGUGGCGAAGGCGGCUCACUGGCCCGAUACUGACGCUGAGGCACGAAAGCUAGGGUAGCGAACGGG